rnacentral:rRNA from 1 species
UACGGAGGGUGCGAGCGUUGUCCGGAUUUAUUGGGUUUAAAGGGUGCGUAGGCGGCCAAAUAAGUCUGGGGUGAAAGCCCGCUGCUCAACAGCGGAACUGCCCUGGAUACUGUAUGGCUUGAGGACAGACGAGGUUGGCGGAAUAGAGGGUGUAGCGGUGAAAUGCAUAGAUACCCUCUAGAACCCCGAUUGCGAAGGCAGCUGACUAGACUGUAUCUGACGCUGAGGCACGAAAGCGUGGGGAGCGAACAGG